AUCCCACUGGUGCACAGGUCUGUAAAGCAGAUGGAAUCAUUGUGUCGGGGAAACACUGGAACUUUGAUAUUUCUUGCAGUAGUACUGACAACAGUCAUCUCAGAAGCAGCCUGCUUGCCCAUUGGCCGAGGGAGGCCAAGACUGGAAUGGCAAGAAUACAUAGAAUGAGAUCUCAUUUAGCUUAAAAAUUGAAAUCUUUUGAAAGUAGAAAGGGGACUACAAGAGGGAAGAAAGGAAUCCUAAGGGAGAUAGAAAAAAAAGAGUAAUGAAAUCAUGUGACAUGAACAUAGAAGGGGGGGCUCUUCCGCAGGAGGAAAAGGUGCAGUAAGAGGUAGGGAGAAUGGAUAAAUAAGAACAAAAUAUGACACCCACAUAUGGAAAUGCCCUAAUGAAAGCCAUUAUGUACUGCUAACUUAAAAAUGCAAUCUAGAAAGCGAUACUACAGGAGGAAGAUGAAGUCUAUGGUUUUCAGGUUUCUUUCCUCCAUCACUGAAUGUAUUUUAUCACCAUGUUCAGAAUGUGACUUGCCUCUUCAUGCCUACAUCCCUUUUUUUUUAAGAGUAGAGUCUCCUUUGUGAACUCAGUUGCCCUGGAUUUCCCCACUGCCCUCAUCCCCUUUUUUCCCACUCAAUGCUAUACAAACCAAAUAUGCCAUAUACGAAAUUGUCUCCAAUGUCUCUACACAAAACAACAUUCAAGGACUUUAAACUCAGAGUUACAUUUUAGGGUGGAAGCAGUCAGAGAAAAAAAAGAUAACUUUCUGAUUUUCUUUAAAAUGAAUUAUUCGAAUCUGCAUUUCUAAAGUCUAGCAGAAAAAUGGCUGCUCCAAUUAUUAUGCAAGGCAAGACAGCUAGCAAGAUUUAAUGCAAGCUUACCCUUGCUCCCAUGGGCUUCAGAAUAUUGCCUCUUCCUUGUGAUGGGUUUUCCCAAGAAUUCGCUUUUGUUUAGGAUUUCCAUCUUUGUGGUCAUGAGAUUCGACCUUGGAAGAUGUUAGUGAGGUAAAGAUGAAGGACUAUUUCUGUUACUUCCGUGGAAAACUGUGAGUGGAAAAAUGCUGUUCUAACUCCACCUGAAAGAGAAGGCACAUUCACCAGAAGAUGAAAAUGUAUUCUCAAAAUGUCAAAGGGAGAAGAGCCCGUGGCAGCCUAGGAUGGACAUGCUUUGUUCCAUAGUUAUUUUCAGGUAAUGCUAGAGAAUCAGAAGGAGCCAGCUUUGGGCUUUAGCUCUUGAGCUCCUAAUCUCACGUAGAAGUCAUCUGAGGGGCCAUUUGAAGAAAUCAGUGCAGCAGUAGGUUAUGUGUAGGCAUUUAUAAUCUGGUGCGGGAACUAUGAAUCGUAAAAACAGGCAGAGCACGGGAAGUCAGUGGCUUAGAUUUGAAGGGAGGGAAUCGCCACCAAAACUGAGUGUUUCUCAUUGUGUGACACUGCAUUAUCUCCUUGCUUCAUCUGCAUUAAUGUAGGUUUGUUUUCAACCAACAGAGUGUGUUCUGUGUGCUAGGCAAUAGUGUCGGUGCUGGAAACAAAACCUGUACAGGUAAGACCAAAAUAUAAGGUGAACAAGAAGAGUGCUGUUGAGUUCCUCAGGAGAGAAAUAGGGGCAGAGAACAGCACACAAACCUGUGGAAGGGUAGCCUUCAGCUGCACACCUGUGCUGGGGGGGGGGAGUGUGGUGUCUUAUGGAAAGCUGUUCAAGACAGAUGGAAUAGUGCAAAGGGCCUGAGACAGGUAUCUGAGCAAAAGUAAAGAGACCAAUGGUGCUUGAGCUUCAGAGUAAAGGGGAGGAAAGGAGAAUAGAAGAAUAAAAUGGGAGUCAGAUCGUGUGGAACUCAGAAAGUGCCAAGGAGGGCUUUCCUAUCAAUAUGGUAAUCAUUAGUGUACGAGGCUGUGGGUGGGUUUGGAAAGAAGAGUCUCAUGUGGUAUGGUUUGAACAAGCCUCCACUCCUCAAAGUAGUGGUUGCUUUAUUAAUUUAUUUUAAAAGUUUAUUUAUUGUUGUAUGUGUGCAUGCCUGCAUGUGCGUGUAUGUGUGUGCACAUGUGGGGGGCAUGCGCAUGCCAUGGUGCACAUGUGGAAGUCAGAGCACAACUUUCCAGAGUUGGUCUCUCCUUCCACCCUGAUUUCAAGGGAGCGAAGUCAGGUCACCAGCUUCUUGUAACAAGUGCUUUUACUCACUGAGGCAUAAUGCCAGUUUCAGUAUCUGACAGAUUUUCAAGCAUCGCCUAGUUGCUGUGCUGAGAUGGACUAUAGAGAACCAGAGAGAUUUAGAAACUAUUUACAAGGUUGCUAGAACAAUCCAGUUGAGAGCCUGUGGUGGUAGUGGAGAGGAUUAAAAAGUUCUGUAUUCUGGAAUCUAUUGAUGGAUGGAGCACAGAUAUAAAUAGCAGAGAAAAUGAAGAUUCUGAGGGCCUUAUCUCUCCAGAUAUAAUUUACACAGCUGUAAGGACAAUGCAAUAAGUACACGUACCUUUCCACACUGAGAUGCUGCACUAGCUCUUGUAGACCAGGCUGACCUAGAACUCACAGGGAUCCUCCUGCCUCUGCCUCCGGAGUUCUGGGAUUAAAGACGUGCACCACCACUGCCUAGAUAAGGUGCUGCAAUUCUUAGUCUGACAUAAAGCACUUUAGCGUCCCUGUCAUCUUUUAAAACUCAGUGUUCACCUCUUUUCUUAUUGACUGUAUUUAGUUGAACGCUGUUUUCUGUGUGAUGUUGUAGAUCAGGAUGCAGCUAUGAGGAAUGAUACAGAAAAUCCCCAUGUACAAAAUAAUUAGCAUAAGUCGUAUAUUGACAGUCAAUAACCCAGUAAACAUAAACAGAUUUUUGUUUAUCCUUGUUUGUGGGACCUCUGUGUAAUAAAAACAAAUAAUUUGUGGAUGAAGAAAGUAUGGAAUAUAUACAUAUUAGAGUACUACUCAGCAGUAAAAAACAAUGACUUCUUGAAUUUUUCAUGCAAAUGGACGGAAAUAGAAAACACAAUCCUGAGUGAGGUAAGCCAGACCUAAAAAGAGGAACAUGGGAUAUACUCACUCAUAAUUGGUUUCUAGCCACAAAUAAAGGACAUUGAGCAUAGAAUUCCUGAUCCUAGAGAAGCUAAAUAAAAAGGCGAACCCAAAGAAAAACAUAUAGGCAUCCUCCUGGAUAUUAACCUUCAUCAGGCGAUGAAAGGAGACAGAGACAGAGUCCCACAUUGGAGCACCGGACUGAAACCCCAAGGCCCAAAUCAGGAGCAGAAGGAGAGAGAGCACGAGAAAGGAACUCAGGACCGCGAGGGGUGCACCCACACACUGAGACAAUGGGGAUGUUCUAUCGGGAAUGCACCAAGGCCAGCUGGACUGGGUCUGAAAAAGCAUGGGAUAAAACCGAACUCGCUGAACAUAGCAGACAAUGGGUACUGCUGAGAAGUCAAGAACAAUGGCACUGGGUUUUGAUCCUACUGCACAUACUGGCUUUGUGGGAGCCUAUGCUGUUUGGAUGCUCACCUUACUAGACCUGGAUGGAGGGUGCUUUGGAAUUAAAGAUUAAUUUGCUUCUUAUCCUGGAGCCAAUAAGCAUCUAUGACUAAUUAUAACAGGAAUGAAGAUAUUCUCAAGAGACACUCACAUCUUUCCCUUUGGUCAAUAGACUCCCAAGACAAUGGACCCCAGCGAAUUGGAUUUUCACACUGAAAGAACAAAAGACUGAAUUCUGGUACUAUCCAGAGAAGAAGCUUGUCUCCAGGAAGAGACUGUACCAAGUUUUGGCAGUUUGUUAGAUCACUGUCACAAGAGUAGUGGAUUCAUGAUUGGCAGGACCACAGAUUAACCCAGGACUGUUCAGUUAUGCAGACUUCUUGCCCUCUAUUUAAAUCUAAACCUCAUGUCAAGACCUCAGAAGAUGGGCUUGGGGACUGUCUCUGGACUCUUUGUUCCUCUUCCCAAGGG